rnacentral:rRNA from 1 species
CCCUAGUAACUGCGAGUGAAGCGGGAAAAGCUCAAAUUUAAAAUCUGGCGGUCUCUGGCCGUCCGAGUUGUAAUCUAGAGAAGUAAUGCCCGUGCUGGACCGUGUAUAAGUCUCCUGGGAUGGGGCGUCAUAGAGGGUGAGAAUCCCGUCUUUGACACGGACUACCAGUGCAUUGUGGUAUGCUCUCAAAGAGUCGAGUUGUUUGGGAAUGCAGCUCAAAAUGGGUGGUAAAUUCCAUCUAAAGCUAAAUAUUGGCGAGAGACCGAUAGCGAACAAGUACCGUGAGGGAAAGAUGAAAAGAACUUUGGAAAGAGAGUUAAACAGUACGUGAAAUUGCUGAAAGGGAAACGCUUGAAGUCAGUCGCGUUGGCCGGGGAUCAGCCUUGCUUUUGCAUGGUGUACUUUCUGGUUGACGGGUCAGCAUCAAUUUUGACCGCUGGAAAAAGACCUGGGGAAUGUGGCAGCUUCGGCUGUGUUAUAGCCCCUAGUCGCAUACAGUGGUUGGGAUUGAGGAACUCAGCACGCCGCAAGGCCGGGUUUCGACCACGUUCGUGCUUAGGAUGCUGGCAUAAUGGCUUUAAGCGACCCGUCUUGAAACACGGACCAAGGAGUCUAACAUGCCUGCGAGUAUUUGGGUGGAAAACCCAAGUGCGUAAUGAAAGUGAAAGUUGAGAUCCCUGUCGUGGGGAGCAUCGACGCCCGGACCAGAACUUUUGGGACGGAUCCGCGGUGGAGCAUGUAUGUUGGGACCCGAAAGAUGGUGAACUAUGCCUGAAUAGGGUGAAGCCAGAGGAAACUCUGGUGGAGGCUCGUAGCGAUUCUGACGUGCAAAUCGAUCGUC